rnacentral:rRNA from 1 species
GAUUAAACUCAAAGGAUUGACGGGGCCCGCACAAGCGGGGGAGCAAGGGGUUAAUUNGACGCAACGCGCAGAACCUUACCAGCCCUUGACAUCCCGGUCGCGGACUCCAGAGACGGAGUUUCUUCAGUUCGGCUGGACCGGAGACAGGGUGCUGCAUGGCUGUCGUCAGCUCGUGUCGUGAGAUGUUGGGUUAAGUCCCGCAACGAGCGCAACCCCCGUCCUUAGUUGCUUACCAUUCAGUUGAGCACUCUAAGGAGACUGCCGGUGAUAAGCCGCGAGGAAGGUGGGGAUGGCGUCAAGUCCUCAUGGCCCUUACGGGCUGGGCUACACACGUGCUACAAUGGCGGUGACAAUGGGAUGCGAAGGCGCAAGCCCUGGCAAAUCUCAAAAAGCCGUCUCAGUUCGGAUUGGGCUCUGCAACUCGAGCCCAUGAAGUUGGAAUCGCUAGUAAUCGUGGAUCAGCACGCCACGGUGAAUACGUUCCCGGGCCUUGUACACACCGCCCGUCACACCAUGGGAGUUGGCUUUACCUGAAGACGGUGCGCUAACCGCAAGGAGGCAGCCGGCCACGGUAGGGUCAGCGACUGGGGUGAAGUCGUAACAAGGUAACC